rnacentral:lncRNA from 1 species
CGACGAAGGGAGCGCGGGCGGGGAGCGCGGGCGCGCGCCCGCGUCCGCGCACGGAGAGUCGCCUCGGCCGCUCGCUUUCUCGCCUCCCGCCUCGCGCCUCGAUCCUGUUCCGCCUCCCUCGGCCCUCCUGCCCGCCCCCACUCGUCGGCCCUCAGCUCAGAGACCUAAUAGGAUGGGGUCUUAGAGAAACAUCUGUUGAGCCACAGACUUCUUUGUUACCAGAAGGAAAAUGAAAGAAGAAAUUUAAAUACCACUUGAAGAGAGGUGCUGCCCAGUUCAUGAGUGCUGCUGCUGUCCUGCCCAAGUACCCAGCUUGCAGAGUGCCGGAGUUAGAGUCCCAGGGGUGUUCUCCACAGCUGCAUGCUUGAUCCAGGCCUAUCAGCAUUGUCUUUGAAUAUUAGCAAAUAAUGGAACAUGGGCCAAGGGUGAACCAUGACGAAUUCGUGUUCCAGCAGCCCUGCUUCUUUAGAAUUGACAGUCUGGCUUCGUGGUUAAUUCACAGCAUCUGAGGAAUACAUCAGAAGAGGGUGAUACUGUGGCAUGAUGGUACCAGGAUUCCAAGUUCAUUCCAGAUACCAACAGUUCAUGAUGAUCUUCAGAAAUGUUCACAGUUUCAGAGGAGCCACAUACUUGAAUGUUUAAAGAAAGCAAUAUUUUGCAAAACGCAAGGAUGAUCCAAGAGAGCCACAGGAGGAUCUAGCAGCCCUUUGUCGGGAAAUGAAGGUAACCAACAAGAUCAGGCCUGGGAAGACCUUCCUGGAUCCCCCAGGACAUGCUCCCUUCUGUGAAGCAGUGGUUCUCAGCCCUUGCUGCUCAUUGAAGUCAACUGGGGUGCUAGAAUAAUACUGAUGCCUGAUGUGCCCAGGCUGGAGUACAGUGGUGUGGUCAUGGCUCACUGCAGCCUUCAUCUCCCGGGCUCAAGUGAUCCUUCUGCUUCAGCCUCCCAAAGCGCUAGGAUUACAAGCAUGCACCACUGUGGUGGGCUCUGACCUUUUAACAUAGUUUUAGAAAAUAUGUUAAUUCCUUGCCUCUGAUGGUUACCAGGCAGAUUCUCUUAUUUUCCUUUCUCUCAUACCUGCCAGGAUCUCAUACCUGUGCCAGAGAUUCCUGAGGAAGGAGGGGCAGUGUAUUUUGGAAAAGCUCCAAGGUGAAUCUGAAGUGCAGCCUGGGUUGGGAACCACUGAUGUAGUCCCAGAUUAGUGACUGAAAUGGGUAAUAAGGGAAGCAGUGUUGGCAGCACAUUCUACCAAGCUCAAAGUCUUGACAUGUCCUGGGGUCAGCAGAGGGCAAAGACUUCAUUGCUAAGAGAGAAGCUUUAGUGGGAGAAGAUAAAUAAGUCUGUUUCCAGGCAAAUGUCCCCUUUCUGCUGUCAGCUUCCUGGCUAUUUCUGCCCUGCCUGAGCCUGAGGAUUUAGACAUCACUUUCACGUAAAUGCCAUAAAUGCCAGCUUCCAGGUCUCUCCACACAUUAAUGACAUUGUGGUGAGAAAAGCCACUUGCAAAUGAAGUAAAUCCUUGAAAGAGUCAGACAAUAGUGGGCUUUGUAAGCUCUGCCUUACAGGAGAGCCCGCAGGGGGAUUUUCGAUGAUCUAUGCAGGGAUCAAGCUGCCAUGGCCAAGGCUCUCAGGACAAAGGCGUCAUGGAGUCUUUUGUUUGCCACCGCAUGUGACUUUACUCCUGCAUCUCCUACAGAGCUCUCCCAGGACAGUUGAGUAAGAGUGGAGAAGCAAUUGGGGUGAACCCCAAGACUCAGCCUGAUCCCUUGAGGGGCUUUGCAGCAUAAAUUACACCUCAGAGCCUGGGGCAAAGGAGCUGUGAGGCAUUUUUCUCUACAUGGGUUAGUCAUUGGCUACCUGGGCUCUCGGUAAGAGUGAUGUGGCUCCAGAGCCCAAGAAAAGCGGCCCCUGCAGUCCUGGGGUGGGGAGCUCUUAGCAGCACAGCACUCAGAAGCUGCGAGAUGGGUGUGCAGAGCUGAUGCUAGGGAUCCGGGAGUCAGGGCAAACACCACUGCAUGUGCUCCACAGGUGAAGCCUUGCCUCCUCCAUCCAUCAGCUCAGCACCCUGUAUGGAAAUGCAAACUGUGACGUGUGCUUCUGCGUUUCCCACCUCUGAUACAAUAGAGGGCACCGCAAUGCUUUUCUCUUCCUCAGGGCCCAUUUCCAGGCUGGACUGCAGUGGUGUGAUCUCCCCUCACUGCAGCCUCCACCUAAAGUAAUCCUCCCAGGCUAAAGCGAUCCUCCCACCUCCCACCUCAGCCUCCCAAGUAGCUAGGACUACAGGUGCAUGCCACCACACUGGCUAAUUUUUAUAUUUUUUGUAGACAGUUUUGACAUGUUGCACAGGCUGGUCUUGAACUCCUGGACUCAAGUGAUCCGAUCUGCCCACCUUGGCCUCCCAUAGUGCGGGUAUUACAGGCGUGAGCCACCAUGUCUGGCUCCCAUUUCCUUGUCUUCAUUGUUGUUGGUUUUUUUCUUGUUACUAUCACAGUAGAAAAUCUAGCAUGUUGGGGAUAGGGUGUGACUAAGGGAAAAGAGACGGGGAGGUCACUUCGACUAUGACCUGUGCAUCAGUUAAGAUGUUAGUGGCAGCAAGAGACAAGAUGCCCAACCACAAGGGAACCCCAACACUGGAGACUUUUUCUCAUGUGUUGGGAAGUCUGGCAGCAGGUGGUCCAGGCUGUGUUGCUCAACAAUGUCGGGGCUCUUGGUGGCUGCUCUGCCAUCCUCUUGGUGGCAGGGUGGCUGCAGCAGUUCCUGGCAUCAUAUCCUCACACAAUAAUAUCCAAAAUCAGGGAAGGAGGGACAGCUUCUUGUCACGCAUUGUUCUCUAGUUAGAAAGGAAAAGACUUCCCAGCUCCAGCCACAGACUUUACUUUGCAGGAGAACGUUUGGCCAGGUUUGCAUCCGGAGGCUGGGAAAAUGAUUAUCUGGCAUUUGAGCUUCUGUCUGCCAUGCCCUGCAAAAGAAGAGGUGCUGGUUUUUCUCCAGUUAUCCCUUUGGGUCCAUUCUCUGUCCCACUCUAUCCUCUCCCUGGCUCCGUGCCCUUGGAGGCCAAUCCUGGAUUUCAUCACUGGGCUCUGCCCUUGGACUUAUCAUUUACUUCAGCCAAAGGAAGGCACCAGGAGGAGAUAGGAAAGCCAGGGAGAGAGGCUGGGUGUUUCCUCCCUACCAAAUGCCACCUUUACCCAAGGCCAUGAAGAUACUGCCCUUUGUCACCUUCUGAGGCAUUGUUUUCCCUCCCUAUUUACACCUGCUGUCCACCUGGAAAUGAUUUCCCCUCUGAUUUUUAUUAUGAAAGUUUUCAAGUCUACCGAAACAUUAAAAAUAGCUUAAUGAACACUAAUAUCCUUCCACUAAAUUCACC